rnacentral:rRNA from 1 species
UACGGGGGGGGGCAAGCGUUGUUCGGAAUUACUGGGCGUAAAGGGUCUGUAGGUGGCUUGCUAAGUCAGACGUGAAAUCCCUCAGCUUAACUGGGGAACUGCGUCUGAGACUGGCGAGCUUGAGGGCAGGAGAGGAACGCGGAAUUCCAGGUGUAGCGGUGAAAUGCGUAGAUAUCUGGAGGAACACCGGUGGCGAAGGCGGCGUUCUGGACUGCAUCUGACACUGAAAGACGAAAGCCAGGGGAGCAAACGGG